UACGUAGGGGGCAAGCAUUGUCCGGAUUUACUGGGCGUAAAGAGCGUGUAGGCGGCCAAACAGGUCCGUUGUGAAAACUGGAGGCUUAACCUCCAGACGUCGACGGAAACCGUAUGGCUAGAGUCCGGAAGAGGAGAGUGGAAUUCCUGGUGUAGCGGUGAAAUGCGCAGAUAUCAGGAAGAACACCAAUGGCGAAGGCAGCUCUCUGGGACGGUACUGACGCUGAGGAGCGAAAGCGUGGGGAGCGAACAGG
rnacentral:rRNA from 1 species